rnacentral:rRNA from 1 species
AACGGCCAUACCAUGCUGAAUAAAUAUACCAUUUCUCGUUAGAUCACCGAAGUUAAGCAUCAUUGGGAGCGGUCAGUACUUGGGUGGGUGACCACCUGGGAACAACACUGCGUGCC